GGAGCCCAGGCUGGCCUGUCCUUGCCCUGUGCUCUCCCCUACCCCUCCACUUCACCCCCACCUCCCACGAGCAGUGCUGGUGUGGCCUUCAGAAGCCCCAACUCAGGGCUCUGGCCUCCACCUCCUUGCUCUCAUGGUUUUGCUACCCGUGAUAGAUCACGCUCAGGCUACCAUGAACGUGGUGGCACAGGAAGAAGUAGAAUGCAGAAGAAUGUAACAGCGGGGCAGCGAGAAUAACCUUACAGGUGACAGGGAGACCCCUGAGUGCCAAUACAGGCCUACAGUGGAAGAGCCAGAGCCGUACAAUGGAACACUGUGCCACAGUGAGGAGGAGAGAAGUCCGACGUUGGACUUUACAUGGGAGAGAAAGAAGCCAGACACAAAGGAGAACCGAGGUCUCUGGGAUGCUGGGCAUGUUCUGUUUCUUGAUCUCAGCGCUGGCAACGCAGGUAUAUUCACUCUUUGUGAAAUUCCAUCAGGGAGGACACUUACUAUUCAUGACCUGCUCUGUAAGCAUAUGAUACUUCAAUACAAAGUUUAUAGAAAAGGCGGUGGACCCGCAGCUCUGGGCCUUCUGACCUGCCAGAUUCCCCUCUUUGGGCAAGAUCUGUUGAGUUCUGAACGUCAGGCGCACUUUGGAAGCACAGAUGCCCAGGGCCCUGAGCCUGCUCUGUGUGUGUCCCUGGCACUGCCUGCCUGCUGUGUGCUGUUUGUUCAGUAGCAAACAGAAGUGAGAGCGUCUACACACCCAGCCCCGGCUAUUCUCACGGGCCCUUUCAUCCGGAGCUGGUGGCCUGGCUCAGAUCACCAGCAGGCCAGCCUGCACACCUCAAAGGCAGACGCUCCCGGCGCACGGGGACAAAGGUUGUACAACUCUGCUCCUUUCUAGGCAUCAAACCAAUGAACUGUGGCCAUCACCCAGGAUCUUGGCUCCAUGCUUAUAAAAAAUAGGAUCUGGUUGAACCCCUUCCCUUUCACAGCAGUGAACCUGAGGCCCCAGGAUGGAAGGAACUCGCCUAAGGCCAUUCCAUAGCUCUCCUGUGGGCAGGGCCCUCCCCCAGCUCUCCUCGAGAGCCAGGAUGGGUCUCUCACCCCAGCGGCCCCCACCUGCCCUUCAGUGAUUGGGAGUGGGGUUGUUCAGAGGCUUCUUUCUUUUAAAAGAAUCUUAGAGGCUUAAACCAAAUGAGAUACAUUUUCACUGGGUGGAUUUGGGACAUGCUGGACAUCAUGGUGGUAAAAGGGCAUUUCUGGGGCCUCCCAGCAUGGAGGGUCACAGCAGAUGGCAACUUUCAACCCCUCUCUGCAAAAGCAUUUUCCUGCUGCUUCUCCACUGGACACAGUCCAUCUUGUUCCUAGGACACCAAUCAAGGGUGAGCUUCCUUGUGACGCCUGAAUCAGCUACCCAGAUGCAAGUGCAUUGGUCCGGCCCCGGUGCAUUGGUGUGGUGCUGCCAGAACAAUCCCUUGCCUCCCUGCCUGCUUCCCUCCCAGGCAUCGGCGUGGAGAAGGAGCUUUGGACAGGACAUCAACCUGGCUCGGCACUGCAUCCCAGGAGCCACAGUCCUGCCACCUUGAGCAAGCUACCCUACUUCUUCGAGUCUCUGGUUUUGCAUCUAUAGGGUGAAAGUCACACAAACCAUCUCAUACUGUGGUUGUGAGGACUGAGAAAGACAGACAGUGUACAGUGGGA